rnacentral:rRNA from 1 species
AAUCAACGCUGGCGGCGUGCCUAACACAUGCAAGUCGAACGCGGUUACCCCGCAAGGGGUGACUGAGUGGCGAACGGGUGAGUAACACGUGGGUGACCUACCUUCGAGUGGGGGAUAACGUCCCGAAAGGGACGCUAAUACCGCAUAACAUCCCAUCUUUGAACAGGUGGAGAUCAAAGCCGGGGAUCGCAAGACCUGGCGCUGGAAGAGGGGCCCGCGUCCGAUUAGCUAGUUGGUGAGGUAACGGCUCACCAAGGCAACGAUCGGUAGCCGGCCUGAGAGGGCGGACGGCCACACUGGGACUGAGACACGGCCCAGACUCCUACGGGAGGCAGCAGUGGGGAAUUGUUCGCAAUGGGCGCAAGCCUGACGACGCAACGCCGCGUGGAGGAUGAAGGUCUUCGGAUUGUAAACUCCUGUUGCCCGGGACGAAACGCUCCGACCUAACACGUCGGAGCCUGACGGUACCGGGUGAGGAAGCCCCGGCUAACUCUGUGCCAGCAGCCGCGGUAAUACAGAGGGGGCAAGCGUUGUUCGGAAUUACUGGGCGUAAAGGGCGCGUAGGCGGCCUGUUAAGUCGGACGUGAAAUCCCCGGGCUCAACCCGGGAACUGCGUCCGAGACUGGCAGGCUUGAAUCCGGGAGAGGGAUGUGGAAUUCCAGGUGUAGCGGUGAAAUGCGUAGAUAUCUGGAGGAACACCGGUGGCGAAGGCGGCAUCCUGGACCGGCAUUGACGCUGAGGCGCGAAAGCCAGGGGAGCAAACGGGAUUAGAUACCCCGGUAGUCCUGGCCCUAAACGAUGAAUGCUUGGUGUGGUGGGUAUCGAUCCCCGCCGUGCCGAAGCUAACGCAUUAAGCAUUCCGCCUGGGGAGUACGGUCGCAAGGCUG